GUGAGACUGAGUGGAUGUCAGAACUCAGAAAGAGUGGAAGUCUGGAGUAAAACGUGUGUUUGAGUUGCCGCUUCCUAUCAUUGGUUUGUUAUCAGUUUGAGAAAUUUCAUACUUAAGAAGUCUGGAUGCUAAAUCAAGCUUUAGCGCUGUUUUUUUGUCGAACACAAGUAAAGGACGCUGAACACACCUGCGGGGCAAAGGUUUACUGGUUCAGCAGCUGCAGCCUGGACAGAAACACCAGCUCUCAACUUACAGACCAAACAGGUGUCACCCCUUCGUCCAUCGGUCCUUGAUCAGAGAGACGUUGUCCAUGAUCGUAGAGACAUCAUUCACAAUCAGAGAGUCUUCAUACAAUAAAGAAGUUCUUUGAGACCAGGACAGAGGCCUCCAGGUCUUCAGCUGCUGUCGUCGUCUUCUCCUCCUGCACAGACAGGAACAUGUUAAUCACAGAAACUGAUCAGUAAAUCUAUUUUUCCUUUCCUAAACUGUCCUUAUUCAUUUUUGAUAUACAAUUACAAUGACUGAAACUAAACUUUUUAUUUUUUACAAUUAUUACAGUCACAGUAAUGAUUAGAAAUAGUUCUCAAACUAUAUGUAAUAAUUUUUUUUUUCAACCCUAUGACAGUCCGUUUUUGCCUUUCUUAAUAUUUCUUUUCAGAAAUUAUUCUACUAAAAUGACAUUACUAAGGUUAAGUUAGUACGUUAUCUUAAUUA